GAAUCAACGCUGGCGGCGUGCCUAACACAUGCAAGUCGAACGCGAAAGUCCCGCAAGGGAUGAGUAGAGUGGCAAACGGGUGAGUAACACGUGGGUGACCUGCCUUCGAGCGGGGAUAACGUCCCGAAAGGACGCUAAUACCGCGAUGACAUCCUGCCUUUGAAGAGGUGGAGAUCAAAGCUGGGGAUCGCAAGACCUAGCACUUGAAGAGGGGCCCGCGUCUGANAGCUAGUUGGUGGGGUAACGGCUCACCAAGGCAACGAUCAGUAUCCGGCCUGAGAGGGCGGACGGACACACUGUGACUGAGACACGGCCCAGACUCCUACGGGAGGCAGCAGUGGGGAAUUGUUCGCAAUGGGCGCAAGCCUGACGACGCAGCGCCG
rnacentral:rRNA from 1 species